GUUUGUAUCCCGCAUCAAUUCUGUCAUCAUGCUUGUCAUCAAUUACACUGCCCUUAGAGGAAAAGUACCAUAGAAGUUAUUUAAUAUUUUAAAAAUAUUGAGAUCCAAAACAAUAAGUCAUAUUAUCUUUUCUAUGUUACUAUUAAUAUUCCUUUUGUGUACUUAAUUAGGCUUACCAUUGGGGAUAGAUGCGUUUAAACUAGCUACAUACAAAAUGAGAAAGAAAUUGACCUUGCAGAGAAGGAAGCAUCUUUCAUUUGGAGAUAGAGUGUGCCUUAUAAGUUAGUUUUGAUUUUGAAUAAAAUUGAAAGUGAUUUUUAAUACAUAAUACCCAAAAAGGCACUUUUGAUUUUGAAUAAAAUUCAAAGUGAUUUUUAAU
rnacentral:lncRNA from 1 species